GACGAACGCUGGCGGCGUGCCUAACACAUGCAAGUCGAACGGAACUUCUUUAAUUGAUUUCUUCGGAAUGAAUUUGAUUAAGUUUAGUGGCGGACGGGUGAGUAACGCGUGAGUAACCUGCCUCUGAGAGGGGAAUAACAUUCUGAAAAGAAUGCUAAUACCGCAUAAUAUAUAUUUAUCGCAUGGUAGAUAUAUCAAAGAUUUAUCGCUUAGAGAUGGACUCGCGUCCGAUUAGUUAGUUGGUGAGGUAACGGCUCACCAAGACUGCGAUCGGUAGCCGGACUGAGAGGUUGAACGGCCACAUUGGGACUGAGACACGGCCCAGACUCCUACGGGAGGCAGCAGUGGGGGAUAUUGCGCAAUGGGGGAAACCCUGACGCAGCAACGCCGCGUGAAGGAUGAAGGUCUUCGGAUUGUAAACUUCUUUUAUUAAGGACGAAGAAAGUGACGGUACUUAAUGAAU
rnacentral:rRNA from 1 species